CAAGAGCGUAUGUAAAAGUUGUUGCAGUUAAAAAGCUCGUAGUUGAACCUUGGGUUUGGUUGGCCGGUCCGCUUUUUUGCGAGUACUGGAUUCAACCGAGCCUUUCCUUCUGGCUAACCAGUCGUUUCGGCGGCUGGCGAACCAGGAUUUUUACUUUGAGAAAAUUAGAGUGUUCAAAGCAGGCAUUAGCUUGAAUAUAUUAGCAUGGAAUAAUAGAAUAGGACGUUAUGGUUCUAUUUUGUUGGUUUCUAGGACCAUCGUAAUGAUUAAUUGGGACGGUCGGGGGCAUCAGUAUUCAGUUGUCAGAGGUGAAAUUCUUGGAUUUACUGAAGACUAACUACUGCGAAAGCAUUUGCCAAGGACGUUUUCAUUAA
rnacentral:rRNA from 1 species